rnacentral:rRNA from 1 species
GAUGAACGCUGGCGGCGUGCCUAAUACAUGCAAGUCGAGCGAACAGAUGAGGAGCUUGCUCCUCUGACGUUAGCGGCGGACGGGUGAGUAACACGUGGAUAACCUACCUAUAAGACUGGGAUAACUUCGGGAAACCGGAGCUAAUACCGGAUAAUAUAUUGAACCGCAUGGUUCAAUAGUGAAAGACGGUUUUGCUGUCACUUAUAGAUGGAUCCGCGCCGCAUUAGCUAGUUGGUAAGGUAACGGCUUACCAAGGCAACGAUGCGUAGCCGACCUGAGAGGGUGAUCGGCCACACUGAAACUGAGACACGUUCCAGACUCCUACGGGAGGCAGCGGUAGGGAAUCUUCCGCAAUGGGCGAAAGCCUGACGGAGCAACGCCGCGUGAGUGAUGAAGGUCUUCGGAUCGUAAAACGCUGUUAUUAGGGAAGAACAAAUGUGUAAGUAACUAUGCACGUCUUGACGGUACCUAAUCAGAAAGCCACGCCUAACUACGU